GGGGAACUGAAACAUCUAAGUACCCCGAGGAAAAGAAAUCAACCGAGAUUCCCCCAGUAGCGGCGAGCGAACGGGGAGCAGCCCAGAGUCUGAAUCAGCUUGUGUGUUAGUGGAACGGUCUGGAAAGUCCGACGGUACAGGGUGAUAGUCCCGUACACCAAAAUGCACAGGCUGUGAACUCGAAGAGUAGGGCGGGACACGUGGUAUCCUGUCUGAAUAUGGGGGGGACCAUCCUCCAAGGCUAAAUACUCCUGACUGACCGAUAGUGAACCAGUACCGUGAGGGAAAGGCGAAAAGAACCCGGCGAGGGGAGUGAAAAGAACCUGAAACCGUGUACGUACAAGCAGUGGGAGCACCUUCGGGUGUGACUGCGUACCUUUGUAUAAUGGGUCAGCGAC
rnacentral:rRNA from 1 species